GAUGAACGCUAGCUACAGGCUUAACACAUGCGAGUCGAGGGGAAACGACAUCGAAAGCUUGCUUUUGAUGGGCGUCGACCGGCGCACGGGUGAGUAACGCGUAUCCAACCUGCCCACCACUUGGGGAUAACCUUGCGAAAGUAAGACUAAUACCCAAUGACGUCUCUAGAAGACAUCUGAAAGAGAUUAAAGAUUUAUCGGUGAUGGAUGGGGAUGCGUCUGAUUAGCUUGUUGGCGGGGUAACGGCCCACCAAGGCGACGAUCAGUAGGGGUUCUGAGAGGAAGGUCCCCCACAUUGGAACUGAGACCCGGUCCAAACUCCUACGGGAGGCAGCAGUGAGGAAUAUUGGUCAAUGGACGAGAGUCUGAACCAGCCAAGUAGCGUGCAGGAUGACGGCCCUAUGGGUUGUAAACUGCUUUUAUAAGGGAAUAAAGUGAGUCUCGUGAGACUUUUUGCAUGUACCUUAUGAAUAAGGACCGGCUAAUUCCGUG
rnacentral:rRNA from 1 species